rnacentral:rRNA from 1 species
UGGGGAAUUUUGGACAAUGGGCGAAAGCCUGAUCCAGCCAUGCCGCGUGAGUGAAGAAGGCCUUCGGGUUGUAAAGCUCUUUUAGUCGGAAAGAAAGAGUUGCAAUGAAUAAUUGUGAUUUAUGACGGUACCGACAGAAAAAGCACCGGCUAACUACGUGCCAGCAGCCGCGGUAGUACGUAGGGUGCGAGCGUUAAUCGGAAUUACUGGGCGUAAAGGGUGCGCAGGCGGUCUUGCAAGUCAGAUGUGAAAGCCCCGGGCUUAACCUGGGAAUUGCGUUUGAAACUACAAGGCUAGAGUGCAGCAGAGGGGAGUGGAAUUCCAUGUGUAGCAGUGAAAUGCGUAGAGAUGUGGAAGAACGCCGAUGGCGAAGGCAGCUCCCUGGGUUGACACUGACGCUCAUGCACGAAAGCGUGGGGAGCAAACA